rnacentral:tmRNA from 1 species
CUUGAAAAAUUGCUGGUUUUGUCAUACAAUUAUCGUGUCAGCAAUGACUAUGAUACUAAAUCUUAACUAGAAUAGGUGCUUCGGACUGGGGGGCGGUACCCCAUACCUCCACCAAAAAACAACACGGGGGUAAAAUAGCAUCGACGGGUACAAUAAAGGGUUAAAGUGUAUCAAGUGAUGAUUCCGACUUUCAAUCGGGUCAAAAUAAAUGAACGCAAAUGAUAAUCGUUCUUUCGCAAUGGCUGCUUAAUUAAGCACCACGCGAGCUAAAUUCUUUAAAGAUAUAAGACCUUUAAAGUGGGGUGGGGACUUCCUAGCAACAGAAAGUCCC